UUUUUUUUUUUUGAGACAGGAUCUGGCUCUGUUGCCCAGGCUGGAGUCCAGUGGCACAAUCUCAGCUCACUGCAACCUCCGCCUCCCAGGCUCAAGAGAUUCUCCUCCCACCUCAGCCUCCCAAGUAGCUGGGAUUACAGGCAUGCACCACCAUGCCUGCCUAAUUUUUCUAUUUUUUGUAGAGAUGGGGGUCUCACUUUGUUGCCCAAGCUGGUCUCGAACUCCUGACCUCAGGUGAUCUGCACAACUCAGCCUACCAAAGUGCUGGAAUUACAGACAGGAGCCACCACACCCAGCCAACUUCCUAAUUUCUACAUUCCCUCCCUUGCUCUUUGAGAUUUCCUUUCAGUAAGGAACUUUUCUAUGCUCUUAAUAUAUUCCUUUUUAGUAGGAACGCAGAAGUAUUAGACUGAAUGGAAAAGCACUUGCCAUCUCUGGGCUGGAGGCCAUAAAUUUGAAAUGCCUCUUAUAUCACAUAUUGUAGAGGUCAUGUACGUCUGUGGCAACAGGCAGUUUUCCUAUUCACUCUUCAUUUGCUGCUGUCUAAGUUGACGUCUCUUCCCAAUACAAAUUCACUUACACCUCCUGCCUUUGCAGUUCUGGUAUUCACUUUACUAUGUAAUAGAAGUAGCAUGUUGCUGCCAGAAUACAAGCAUUGCUUUUGGCAAAUUAAAGCGCAUGUCAUCUCUUAAUACACUAGAAAGGGGAAAUAAGUACCCAAGUCCAAGUCUAAAAGUUUAGUCCUUUUCCAUGCAGAUUUGUGCACAUGUGACAGAGGGUAUCCAGCCUGUCUAGUGAUUGUUCUUUAGGGGUGGACCACUGUUAUGUGCUGCUAAUCACUGGCUGUAGUCCCAAAAGAGCCUUGUAAAAAUGCUAUCCCCUAUGAAACAGCAGAGGAACACAAAAUAAAAUCUCAUUUUAUAAACCAUUUACUAUGGCUUUGUAACAACUGCAUACCCAUACAUUAAGAAACGGGUGAAUUUAUUACUUUCUAAGGUUUAUUGAUAUCUCCCUUUUAUCUUAUGUAAAUUGUAGUAACAAUGCCUAUAUUUCUGCAUUGUGAUCCACUUUUUUAGGGGUGCCUGGAAAUGUACAGAAUUGGACUGCAUUUCUUAGAGUAUUUUACUAUAGAUCAAUUUCAUGGGCCAUCUCUUCCUCAGAUGUAAAUGAUCUCUGGUGAAGUGUUACAUGGAAUAAAGUGGACAUUUUAAAACUAAAAGUAAUAUAAAUAGUCUAAAUACACCAAUUAAAAGAGAGACUAGAUUUUAGAAGAUGAUCCCAUUAAAUGCCAUAUAAAAGGUUGGCACCCAUGCCAUGGAAUCCUCCUCAGCAAGGUAACAAAGCAAACUACUCAAACACCCAGCAACUUGGAUAGGCCUCAUGGGCGUCACGCAGAAUAAAAAAUUCCAAUCUCUCACACACUGUAUGACUCCAUUUAUAAUAACAUUUCCAAAAUGACAAAGUUAUAGUGAAGGAUAAUAGACUAGGUUCCCAGGGGUUAGGGAUGAUGGGGGAUGCAGGGGUUGGUGUGACUAUCGACACCACAGGGGAGAUCUUUGUGGUGAUAGAAUUGUUCUAUAGUGGUGGUUACAAGAAUCUAGACAUGAUAAAAGGACACAGAACUAUCCACACUCAUAAUACCAAUGUCAAUUUCCUGAUUUUGAUAUUGUACAUUAUAUACACAUAAGUUAUCCCAAGAAGUAACUGUCAGGGAAAGAUGGGUGAAGUUUGCACUGUAUCUCUCUGUCUUUGCAGCUUCCUUUAGUUCUACAAUUAUUUUUAAAUAGGUUUUUGAAAAAGCAAAGCAGAAAAGAACCAACGAACAAAUAAUUAUUAUUAAGGGCAAAAAGAAAAUAGGGCAUGUUCAUCCAGUGGGUCAUUCAACUGAAAGGACUUCACCACAACGUUUGUCAGAGGAGCCCAGAACACUGCCUUACUAAGAGGAUGUGUAACAGUACUCUUUUGUCUACUGUGUAUUCAUACAACAAGAUUAACUGGAUGGGUUCAUAAGAAGACAAAUGCUAAAGGUUGAUGUACACACAAAAGUGAUUAGAAAGAGAGCGAAUGUUAAAAAAUUUUUCAUUGACUUGAUCAUUCUAAUUGCUGUUUAUAAACCUAAUAAAAUGUUUUACAACUGAAAAGAUGGCCAUUCUCUUUUCAAAAUUGUUAGCUGUCAGUUUUCAAAAACUGAUAUUUGCAUUUGAUGAUUCAAGUGCAGAAGAACCAGAAGUAGUGAUAAGCUGGCUGGGUGUGGUGGCUCAUGCCUAUAAAAAAAUUCCAGCACUUUGGGAGGCUAAGAGAGGCAGAUCAUUUGAGGCCAAGAGUUUCAAGACCAGCCUGGCCAACACGGUGAAAACCCGUCUCUACUAAAAAUACAGAAAUUAGCCAGGUGUGGUGAUGUGCACCUGUAAUCCCAGCUACUUGGGAGGCUGAGGCAGAAAAAAAUCACUUGAACCCAGGUGGCAGAGGUUGCAGUGAGCUGAGAUUGCAUCACUGCACUGCAGCCUGGGCAACAGAGCAAGACUCCGUCUCAAAAAAUAAAAUUAAUUAAAAAUAAAUAAAUAUGCUCUGAAAUCUCCUCACAUUUGCUUACAUUAAUGCUCAUUAAUCCUCUCUUCUUUACACAGAUCCCAGUAUCAACGCUCCUUUUAUUCAUCUCCUGACCAGGAACACGAAACUGUUACCCAUGCCUUUUCAUUUUCCCCUUCAUUAUCCUCUGUACCUUACAUUUCUAAAUGGAAACCCUUCAAUGACUACCUACUUAACUCUCCAACAUGAUCUCCUCACGUUGCCCAGGAUCUUUCUUGCUUCAGUAUUACCAAGCUGCUUGGAGUGCUCCAAGCCCACUUACUAUGAGUUUCAUUGCUCUACGUUCAUGCUGUCUGCCUACCAGAUCCACCUUCUCUUUCUUUACUGGAAAAAAUUCCAUGCAUCCUUCAAAAUACUCUUUCAUUGUCUUCCUGUGAAGUUUUCUCUGACCUCUAUCCUCUCUUUAGCUCCUUUUUAUCUUGUUAACUACACUAUUUUAUAUCAACACAAACUGUACUAUAAUUACAUACUUAUCUCUUUUUCCCUCCUCAGCUAUGAGUUCCUUAACAGCAGGUUUGUCAGGAGUUCCUAAGACUAUCCCCAGGUUCAGUGAUUCACUUGAAGGACUCACAGGACUCACCAUUGAGUUGCAGCACAGGGAAAAGACACACGGAGAGAAGUUUGGAAGAAACCAGCUCAAAGAGUCCCAGGUGUGCUGGUGCCUAACCCUGGCUGCCAAUCAGAAUUACCUAGGGGCACGUUCGAGAACUUCCCAGGGGAUGUCUAACUUCUAGCAUAACAGAGUGAGAAGGCUCACAAAUCCUCUUCCCACAAAGCAACUAUAAAGCUGGUCAAGAGUCAAAAACAACCUAGUUGGUGCUCUGGAAAGCAAGCAAGACAUUCAACAAACUGAGAAGUGUUUAUUCAUGAAACCCACUGGACUCCAGCACUUCUCCCGAUGUUACAGCUCCUCUACAAUCAACAGCGGAAUGAGAGGGGAGAAAAAAAUCAUACCAGUCUCAUGAGAGCUAAAAUGACCCUCCCAAGAUGAAAGAGCAAGCUACAAGAGAACCAAGGUCUCCAGACUCUAGCGUCUCCCCAGUGAUAGCACAGCCAUUAUUCCUCAGGAAAAGAAAACCAUGAACAGCAUCUGGAGAGGUCAAUCACUUCCACAACCACCCUGCCUGUCCCUUCUGAGAAGGGACCAAAUCCUACCAU